UACGUAGGGACCAAGCGUUGUCCGGAAUCAUUGGGCGUAAAGAGCGUGUAGGCGGCUUGUUAAGUCUUGCGUGAAAUCUCGGGGCUCAACCCCGAGCGGUCGUGAGAAACUGGCAGGCUAGAGUGCGGGAGAGGAGAGUGGAAUUCCUGGUGUAGCGGUGAAAUGCGCAGAUAUCAGGAAGAACACCCGUGGUGAAGGCGGCUCUCUGGAACGCAACUGACGCUGAGACGCGAAAGCGUGGGGAGCAAACAGG
rnacentral:rRNA from 1 species